rnacentral:rRNA from 1 species
AGAGUUUGAUCCUGGCUCAGAUUGAACGCUGGCGGCAUGCUUUACACAUGCAAGUCGAACGGCAGCGCGGGGGCAACCCUGGCGGCGAGUGGCGAACGGGUGAGUAAUGCAUCGGAACGUAUCCUGUAAUGGGGGAUAACGUAGCGAAAGUUACGCUAAUACCGCAUACGCUCGAGAGAGGAAAGUGGGGGAUCGCAAGACCUCACGUUAUAGGAGCGGCCGAUGUCCGAUUAGCUAGUUGGUGGGGUAAAGGCCUACCAAGGCGACGAUCGGUAGCUGGUCUGAGAGGAUGAUCAGCCACACUGGGACUGAGACACGGCCCAGACUCCUACGGGAGGCAGCAGUGGGGAAUUUUGGACAAUGGGCGAAAGCCUGAUCCAGCCAUGCCGCGUGCGGGAAGAAGGCCUUCAGGUUGUAAACCGCUUUAGUCCGGGAAAAAGGGGUGCGAGGAUAAUACCCUCGUGCUUUGAUGGUACUGGAAGAAUAAGCACCGGCUAACUACGUG